GUCCCUACUUACUUGGACUUUCCCUGGGAUCACAGAGGACCAGCAGCUUUCCCUAUGCUGUUUGGUUGGGAAUUAUACCCACAGAAGAGGAAGCAAAAAGCAAGAGGACAAUGUCACAAAGAGGAUGAGAAGCUGAAACAUCUUUGGUAUUACCACUUGCAUGUUAAAUGGGAUUCCCCCCUUGAAGAUAUUUUUGCGUUGUCAGAGGAAGGAAACAGCAGCUGUGAAGUUGCGCUCUUCUCAUGCAGACCGCAGAGCCCACCCCACCCCCCUGGAAAUUCAUGCCAGAUGCAGGAAAGAAUGAGCAAGGGUUUCAAAGUGGACACUGCAUAUGGAAAGCAAUAGUUUAGCAACUAGAAAGUCUUGGAUAAUUUCAACAAGUCUCAGCACUGAAGCAGCACUUCAAGAAAAUCUGCUCUGGGGCUCUCAGUAGUGUAAAAUAAAGAUCUGUAUGUCUUUUCAUCUUCAUGGAAACCAAGUUUAAAACUGGCCUGCUGAAAGCUCUUUUUAAAUAUGUUGUCUGCAUGCUUGUUGUGAAGUAAUAGUAGUAAAUGCUAGGUUUUGAGGAACAGUAAACUGAGGUAAUAAGGUACCUAUGAGAAAGCAAAGGUUUUGACCAGCUUAAGUGAGACAGUCAGGCCCUUUCUAGCUCUCUGCCUCCAGAAGGUACGUAGAUUCCUCGGCCCAAAGCCAUAGCUAUUGUAACUGGAGUUGAUUAGAAAAUGGUAAGCAUUUUCCAUAAGACAGACAAACUCAAGAAAUGUUUUGUUUAAAAAUAUUAACAGAAACAUUCAACUAAAACAGCUGAGCACCCAGAAGUCCAAUUUUAUUUUCCAAUUUUUUUGAAAUGUUUUGAUAAAAUCUUGGCUUUCAGAAACACAGAUGAAAUAUUUUUGGGAUCACUUAGCCAUAGACAAAAAGAAUAACUUGAACAAAACACAAAGUCUCCAAAAGUAUCCAUUUCAGAAGGAGAGGCCUUUUCCUUCUUUUGCUGAAAAAUGUUCUGAUUGAAAAAAUGUGACCUUCGAAGUUUAUUGGGCUAAGUAAAGAAGUUAAUACAGGACAUCUUGGCUCUGCCAUGAGCACUCCUAACAAAUUGCUUCAUUCUGUCCCCCACUUGGGAGUGUAACCACCCAGUGAAUGUAGCU